rnacentral:rRNA from 1 species
GACGAACGCUGGCGGCGUGCCUAAUACAUGCAAGUAGAACGCACAGUUUAUACCGUAGCUUGCUACACCAUAGACUGUGAGUUGCGAACGGGUGAGUAACGCGUAGGUAACCUGCCUGGUAGCGGGGGAUAACUAUUGGAAACGAUAGCUAAUACCGCAUAAUAUUGAUUAUUGCAUGAUAAUUGAUUGAAAGAUGCUAUUGCAUCACUACCAGAUGGACCUGCGUUGUAUUAGCUAGUAGGUGAGGUAACGGCUCACCUAGGCGACGAUACAUAGCCGACCUGAGAGGGUGAUCGGCCACACUGGGACUGAGACACGGCCCAGACUCCUAUGGGAGGCAGCAGUAGGGAAUCUUCGGCAAUGGACGAAAGUCUGACCGAGCAACGCCGCGUGAGUGAAGAAGGGUUUCGGAUCGUAAAGCUCUGUUGUAAGAGAAGAACGGGUGUGAGAGUGGAAAGUUCACACUGUGACGGUAUCUUACCAGAAAGGGACGGCUAACUACGUG